rnacentral:lncRNA from 1 species
AUGUAUGUAUAUGUUAAUAUUUUAUUGAAACCAUUGAUGCCCCUCUUUGCAGAACUCAAACUAACUGGAGUUAAGGACACACAAGUCUGCUUGUGUGAGGAGGUGGUUUUCUCAGCUUCUUCUGAAGAGAGGGAAAGAUCGUAUAAGAUGUUAAAAGCAAGAGACAUGGGAGAGCAUCAUUCCUUUGAGAUUUUAUGUAAGUUAUUUUUAGAAAAUAAAUUUUUCUGUUGUCUCCUGCCAGUUUACUUCACAUUUUGAUGCAACAACAGUGUGAUUACAUGCUCAUUUCAUUAAGACCAUUGAUGUCUGUGUUUUUUAUUGCAGAACUCAAACCAAGUUUGGAGUUGUCUGAUUUGGAGAGUCAUUAUUCUUGGUCUUCGCUCUUAGAGGUAAAGUUCACACAAAAAAAUCAUUUACUUGCCCUCAAGUCAUUCCAAACCUAUAAGACUUUUGUCUGUCUUUACAACAUAAAUUAAUAUAUUUUUAGUUUUCUCAUAAUAUUUGUUAAUCCAUUUAUAGUUUAGAUAAUCAGUAUUUUCAAGCUUCAUAAAUAUAGAG